rnacentral:tRNA from 1 species
GCGGGCGUAGCUCAGAGGUAGAGCACAAGCUUCCCAAGCUUGGGGUCGCGGGUUCGAAACCCGUCGCCCGCUCAA